UGAGCCUACGGGAGGCAGCAGUGAGGAAUAUUGGUCAAUGGGCGGAAGCCUGAACCAGCCAAGUCGCGUGAGGGAAUAAGGCCCUACGGGUCGUAAACCUCUUUUGCCGGGGAGCAAGGGCCGGGACGAGUUUCGGUCCGGAGAGUACCCGGAGAAAAAGCAUCGGCUAACUCCGUGCCAGCAGCCGCGGUAAUACGGAGGAUGCGAGCGUUAUCCGGAUUUAUUGGGUUUAAAGGGUGCGUAGGCGGGCUUUUAAGUCAGCGGUAAAAAUUCGG
rnacentral:rRNA from 1 species